ACCGGCGGCUCGAGUGGUGGCCACUAUUACUGGGCUUAAAGCGUUCGUAGCUGGCUUGUUAAGUCUCUGGGGAAAUCUUCCGGCUCAACCGGAAGGCGUCUCAGGGAUACUGGCAGGAUAGGGACCGGAAGAGGUGAGAGGUACUCCAGGGGGAGGGGUGGAAACCUGUAAUCCGAGAGGGAGGAACUAAGGCUGAGGGGUCACACCGGAACAGAUCCUAUAGUGGGCAAGGUAAGAGGCGAACGCAAGGCG
rnacentral:rRNA from 1 species